UUUAAAAAUUACCUUUGCUAAUUUAAUAGGUACAAGAGUUGUUUAGGAUUCUGCACCUGCAGCCCAUCUUGUCAUAGAUUGCUGUUCUCAGACUCCUUAAGAAAUGUAACACAAAAGACUACAGCCCAGGGCAUGGUCUACACUCCUCACUAAAGCUUCAGGCUCCAUCUUUGUCUGCUGUAUAACCCUGGUGAGCUUACCUGCACAGUAAACUCAAUGAUCUGCUUCACCCUUUCCACUGAAAUCCUGGAACCAACACUCAGCUUCUCCCUGAUACCCUCCUGAGAUCAUAACAACAAAAAGUGGUAGAUUUAAAGGCAGCAGUCUUCACUUUAUACUUCAUAACAAGUAGCUAUUUUGUCCUGUUCUUAUCUGACUGAAGACACUUAAUGCUUAUGGUAUGUAAAUAUAGUU
rnacentral:lncRNA from 1 species